rnacentral:lncRNA from 10 species
CAGAAACACUCUGCUACAGAACAAGUGUCUUGGUUCACAGCAAAGAGGACAAAGAAAACAGCAAGUUUUAGGGGGUUGAAUCCUGGAUUCCCCUGGCAAACACCAUUCUACUUUCCGUCUCUAUGAAUUUGACUACUCGAAGUACCUCAUGUGAAAUGUUGGUGCCAAAUGAACUUUUCUGGUUCUUCUGAAUAUGCCACUGUUGCUGGAGAAAUGUCACUGCUAGAGAACAGAAGACUAUUAUUCCAAAGGGUAUUUGAGACUGACUGAAUCAGGUCUGGAACAUUAUUGAAAUGAGACCCACAAAAGAAGAGAUACUGAGUAAUUCAGCAUUUCCAGUGACAUCCUUCUGGCUGUGCUUCAAAGGGAAGAUGACGCUAGAGCUGGCAGCAUGACCAGCACUGUGUAAAUCACCCAGACAGACAACAACACAACAUCCAUGAAUAGAUGGCAGAGUUAGCAAGAAAAAAUAGCUUGGAGGAUGGAAAAACCCCAAAGGAUACUCCAGCUAAGAAAGUAUGGACGCUUCCCCUAGUUUAGAAUGCACUUCAGAUGGAUUCCAAGCUAGAACAAGGUCUAUCUGGAGGUGAAGUCAUGUGACAUGAACUAAUGGCUAGAUUUCUACUGAGGAAGCUUGGGGUCCUUGUCUAUAAG